CGGGUCCGUGGUAGGGGUGGAGUGCAGGGAGGACGGGGAGUUGGCUGGCCUGCCCUGCCCGCUGUACUGACUUUCCAGGGGUAGGGUGGGUCAACCUAUCAGAUCCCCUUCGCCCCUCCGCCAGCUGGCCAUGAGUUCAUUGACGUCCCCGACUUACCGCCGGCCUCUUCUGAGUACACCCGUCAGUCGUUGGCGAUGAAUGCCUCGAUGAUGGGGAUGCUCCAGCGGACAUUUGACCUCUUGGCCGUCUACAGCAUACCGCCUUCUUUCCAGAUUCCCAUGGCGGGAGGUGCUUCAGCGAGACCUUCUGUCCCUGCCCGGGGGAGAGAUGAGGAGGGCCGGAUAUUUCCCCGUACCAGGGGAGGGCGUACCCAUGUCGGGAGUAGCUCGCAAGCUCCAGUCCCGGACGAUGAUGAUGACGAGGAGUCAGAGGC